UGGCUCAGGAUGAACGCUAGCGACAGGCCUAACACAUGCAAGUCGAGGGGCAUCGGGGCGAGGAGCAAUCCUUGCCGCCGGCGACCGGCGCACGGGUGAGUAACGCGUAUGCGACCUGCCCGUUGCAGGGGGAUAAUCGGGAGAAAUCCCGUCUAAUACCGCGUAAUGCCGCGGGGCUGCAUGGCCCUGCGGCCAAAGGGAGCGAUUCCGGCAACGGAUGGGCAUGCGUGACAUUAGCUAGUUGGCGGGGCAACGGCCCACCAAGGCGACGAUGUCUAGGGGUUCUGAGAGGAAGGUCCCCCACACUGGUACUGAGACACGGACCAGACUCCUACGGGAAGCAGCAGUGAGGAAUAUUGGUCAAUGGGCGCGAGCCUGAACCAGCCAAGUCGCGUGAGGGAUGACGGCCCUACGGGUUGUAAACCUCUUUUGUCGGGGAGCAAAUUCCGCCACGUGUGGCGGAGUCGAGAGUACCCGAAGAAAAAGCAUCGGCUAACUCCGUGCCAGCAGCCGCGGUAAUACGGAGGAUGCGAGCGUUAUCCGGAUUUAUUGGGUUUAAAGGGUGCGUAGGCGGACUGUCAAGUCAGCGGUAAAAUACGGGGGCUCAACCUCCGCCCGCCGUUGAAACAGACGGUCUUGAGUGGGCGAGAAGUAUGCGGAAUGCGUGGUGUAGCGGUGAAAUGCAUAGAUAUCACGCAGAACUCCGAUUGCGAAGGCAGCAUACCGGCGCCCGACUGACGCUGAAGCACGAAAGCGUGGGUAUCGAACAGGAUUAGAUACCCUGGUAGUCCACGCAGUAAACGAUGAAUACUAGCUGUCCGGGGCGAAUGAGCCCUGGGUGGCACAGCGAAAGCGUUAAGUAUUCCACCUGGGGAGUACGCCGGCAACGGUGAAACUCAAAGGAAUUGACGGGGGCCCGCACAAGCGGAGGAACAUGUGGUUUAAUUCGAUGAUACGCGAGGAACCUUACCCGGGCUCAAACGACACAGGAACGUACCUGAAAGGGUUCGGCUCUACGGAGCCUGUGUCGAGGUGCUGCAUGGUUGUCGUCAGCUCGUGCCGUGAGGUGUCGGCUAAGUGCCAUAACGAGCGCAACCCCCAUCGACAGUUGCUAACAGGUCAGGCUGAGGACUCUGUCGAGACUGCCGGCGCAAGCUGCGAGGAAGGCGGGGAUGACGUCAAAUCAGCACGGCCCUUACGUCCGGGGCGACACACGUGUUACAAUGGCAGGUACAGCGGGAAGCCACCUGGCGACAGGGAGCGGAACCCGAAAGCCUGUCUCAGUUCGGAUUGGAGUCUGCAACCCGACUCCAUGAAGCUGGAUUCGCUAGUAAUCGCGCAUCAGCCACGGCGCGGUGAAUACGUUCCCGGGCCUUGUACACACCGCCCGUCAAGCCAUGGAAGCCGGGGGUGCCUGAAGUGCGCUGCCGCGAGGAGCGCCCUAGGGUAAAACCGGUGACUGGGGCUAAGUCGUAACAAGG
rnacentral:rRNA from 1 species